AAAUCCAUCAAUCCCUACGGAAUAAUUACUCUAUGGAUAUGGAGAAAUUCAUCAAAAGUAAGUUUAAGUCAAAGAAAAACAUAAACAUCCAAACCCUUGUCUUGGGUGAGAAUGAAUGGUGAAAUCCUUGUGCUCUUGCUUCUCCCUCCUCUUCUUAGCUUCCUUAGGUCUAAAUUAUGUCAAAAGUCCUCCAAAUACCGUGUUUCCAUGCAUAUAUACCAAGUAAGGUCGGAAAACAAAUACACCUUUUCCUAUGCAAAAAAAGGACACUUUUCCCGGACAGGACGUGCGUGGCCGCGCACUUGGUCGCGCACUUUUCACACUUGCUGCCCCAUAUGCACGGUCAGUUCGCGGCUGCGCACUUUUCACCCUGUUCUGUUAGAAAUAUGAAGAAACAUAAAACAUAAAAGUUGUAGCCCUUUGAAUUAUCUUUCCAACAAUAUAUUGUGUAGCCCAAUGGAGUUCUUAACAAAGAGUUAUGUGUAUUUUACUAGACAGUGCAUAAUAUGCCUACUCGAUUCUUUGUUUCGUUGCACUAUCAUCCGUUGAUCCCCGAACACGAUCCUGGCUUAAUUUCUUGGGCUUUUACUUAGACUUCAAAGCUCCAAAUCACUUGAAUUCAUUCCAUAAUAUCUACAUAGCUCAGAAUCACUCCUACAAGGCAUAAAACAUACAAUUAGAGCAAAACACUAGCGAUUAAAGCUCAAAUUCAACUAAGGUGUAUUAAAUUGGAGUGCAAAAAGCGACUAAAACAUGAGAUUAUAGCCUACCAUCAGUUACUUUUUUUUAGUAUAUUUUUUGUUCAUAUUCAAUUUGAUAUUUAAGUGUUUUCAAACUUUUAAGGCUUAGAAUUAAGGCUUAAAAUUAAACUUUUAAACUUUAUAAUUAAAUUUUAAAAUUGAAAUUUGAAUUAUAAAAUUUGAAAAUUAAAAUUAAGUGGCUACAUAAAAUUAUUUUAUAAGACCAAUAUGUAAGGAUCAAACUUCAAAGGCUUUCAUUUCAUAUUUUCAUUGCAUAAUAAUACUUCAAAUUAACUUGUCUAAUACACUAACACAAUAAGCUUAAAUAAGUCUAACAAAUUUAAAAUAACACAAAUUGUCUCAAAUCAACUUAAAAUACGAAUUGGUGGAGGACACUCAAGACAACCCUUGAUAUGCCUCCUUAAACUAGCUGUGCCUUCCCCCCUUUCGACGAACAUUAAAGACUAGACCACAGUUCUUACACUGAACUUUGCGAACCUUUUGAUUUUCUUCUACCACCUCAAAGUGUUCCCAAACAUGUGAGGGCACUCAAGAAGUACGGUGCAUGAUUUAACUUGAACC
rnacentral:lncRNA from 1 species